UACUGAGUGGUGCCGUGGUUUGAGUGCUGGACUAUGGCUCUGGAGACCCAGGUUCAAAUCCUCACUCAGCCA